rnacentral:rRNA from 1 species
UACGUAGGGUGCAAGCGUUGUCCGGAAUUAUUGGGCGUAAAGAGCUCGUAGGCGGUCUGUCGCGUCCGUUGUGAAAACUCGAGGCUCAACCUCGGGCUUGCGGUCGAUACGGGCAGGCUCGAGUUCGGUAGGGGAGACUGGAAUUCCUGGUGUAGCGGUGAAAUGCGCAGAUAUCAGGAGGAACACCGGUGGCGAAGGCGGGUCUCUGGGCCGAUACUGACGCUGAGGAGCGAAAGCGUGGGGAGCGAACAGG